CCUACGGGUGGCUGCAGUCGAGAAUCAUUCACAAUGGGGGAAACCCUGAUGGUGCGACGCCGCGUGGGGGAAUGAAGGUCUUCGGAUUGUAAACCCCUGUCAUGUGGGAGCAAAUUAAAAAGAUAGUACCACAAGAGGAAGAGACGGCUAACUCUGUGCCAGCAGCCGCGGUAAUACAGAGGUCUCAAGCGUUGUUCGGAAUCACUGGGCGUAAAGCGUGCGUAGGCUGUUUCGUAAGUCGUGUGUGAAAGGCGCGGGCUCAACUCGCGGACGGCACAUGAUACUGCGAGACUAGAGUAAGGGAGGGGGAACCGGAAUUCUUGGUGUAGCAGUGAAAUGCGUAGAGAUCGAGAGGAACACUCGUGGCGAAGGCGGGUUCCUGGACAUUAACUGACGCUGAGGCACGAAGGCCAGGGGAGCGAAAGGGAUUAGAUACCCCUGUAGUC
rnacentral:rRNA from 1 species